rnacentral:lncRNA from 1 species
GCCACACACCUAAGGAGAGUUUGGGUUAUUUCCCUAACCUUUUGCUUUUUUAUUUUUUCUUUAUAUUUAUUAGGAUCACAUUCCAUAACAGCUCAAAAACCAUGGAGAACUUGUCACGACCUAAAGUUUAAGGAUUUUAUUACAGACUUGGCAUGAUCAUCUAAGAGGGCCACUGAGUGACUGACACAGACACAUUUUCAUCCCAGGGGAGACUACGGUAAUGAAGCCUCCAUAAAAACCCCAAAGGACUGGGGACGCCCCAUGCUGAAUGCGCAGAUGUGCAGAUGAGCUGAGUGUGUGCCCGGAGAAAACUGGGAAGCUCCGCGCACUCGCCCCAUGCGUCUCUCCCGUCCGGCCCAUGCCCGAGUCAUGAAAGUAAAUCAAAGCUCUUUUGGUGUGAAUAAUGGCCUGGAAGAGGUCAUUGUAUUACCUAUUCAUGAGACUCAUUUGACAUCUGAGGCCACGGAGGAGUGAGAAGAUGAGAAAGAGGAUUUCUAGAACAGCAGAACGCAGCGGUGAAGGGCCCUCCUUUCCAAUCCCAGUUCUACACUUGUCCAUUGUAUGACCUUGGGUAAGUCACUUAACCUCUCUGACUCCGUUUCUUGACACUUCAAAAAUGGGGGAACCAAUGAUCACUACCUAGAGUCGUGGGUGUUGGGUCAGAUGAUGCAUGUAGAUGGUUAGGACGGGGCCUGUCACUCUUCUCUAGCAACAGCUCAACGGCCUAACUGGUUUCUAACCAAGGACACUGAAUCCAUCAGGAUACCUUCAACCAUAAAACCAAAGAUCCAAUUAAACACAAUUUAGGCCAGUAGGG